rnacentral:antisense_RNA from 1 species
UGGGGUGGUGGUGCAUGCCUGUAAUCCCAGCUACUCAGGAGGUUGAGGCACACGCCACCACGCCUGGCUAAUUUUUUGUAUUUUUAGUAGAGACAGGGUUUCUCCAUGUUGGUCAGGCUGGUCUCGAACUCCCAACCUCAGGUGAUCCACUCACCUUGGCCUCCCAAAGUGCUAGGAUUACAGGCAUAAGCCACCAUGCCGACCUAAUCUGAUGAUUUUUUUACAGCU